rnacentral:misc_RNA from 1 species
GAUGAAGAACGUAGUGAAAUGCGAUAAGUAGUGUGAAUUGCAGAAUUCAGUGAAUCAUCGAAUCUUUGAACGCACAUUGCGCCCCUUGGUAUUCCAUGGGGCAUGCCUGUUCGAGCGUCAUCUACACCCUCAAGCUCUGCUUGGUGUUGGGCGUCUGUACCGCCUCUGCGCGUGGACUCGCCCCAAAUUCAUUGGCAGCGGUCUUUGCCUCCUCUCGCGCAGCACAUUGCGCUUCUCGAGGUGUCUGCAGGGCCCGCGUCCACGAAGCAUUACCAGUCUUUGACCUCGGAUCAGGUAGGGAUACCCGCUGAACUUAAGCAUAUCAAUAAGCGGAGGA